AUUGAACGCUGGCGGCAUGCCUUACACAUGCAAGUCGAACGGUAACAGGUUAAGCUGACGAGUGGCGAACGGGUGAGUAAUAUAUCGGAACGUGCCCAGUAGUGGGGGAUAGCCCGGCGAAAGCCGGAUUAAUACCGCAUACGACCAACGGGUGAAAGGGGGGGAUCGCAAGACCUCUCGCUAUUGGAGCGGCCCAUAUCAGAUUAGGUAGUUGGUGGGGUAAAGGCCUACCAAGCCUGCGAUCUGUAGUUGGUCUGAGAGGACGACCAGCCACACUGGGACUGAGACACGGCCCAGACUCCUACGGGAGGCAGCAGUGGGGAAUUUUGGACAAUGGGCGCAAGCCUGAUCCAGCAAUGCCGCGUGCAGGAAGAAGGCCUUCGGGUUGUAAACUGCUUUUGUCAGGGAAGAAAUCCUCUGGGUUAAUACCUCGGGGGGAUGACGGUACCUGAAGAAUAAGCACCGGCUAACUACGUGCCAGCAGCCGCCGUAACAC
rnacentral:rRNA from 1 species